rnacentral:sRNA from 1 species
AUUCUGCCCAUGCGGGGAAGGAUGAGAAGCUUCGACCAAGGUUCGACUCGAGCGCCAACGAGAGAGCGUUGCCGCAGGCAACGACCCGAAGGGCGAAGCGCGCAGCGCUGAGUAAUCCUUCCCCCACCACCA